GAGAGUGAGAGGGACAGAGAGGUCGGGAGAGAGACGGAGAGGUUGUUAGAGAGCGAGAGAGGGAUGGAGAGAGAGUCAGAGAGAGUGAGAGGGACAGAGAGUUCGGGAGAGAGAUGGAGAGGUUGUUAGAGAGCGCGAGAGGGAAGGAGUGAGAGAGAGUCAGAGAGUGAGAGGGACAGAGAGGUCGGGAGAGAGACGGAGAUAUUGUUAGAGAGCGAGAGAGGGAGGGAGAGAGAGAGAGUCAGAGAGAGUGAGAGGGACAGAGAGGUCGGGAGAGAGACGGAGAUAUUGUUAGAGAGCAAGAGAGGGAGGGAGAGAGAGAGAGUCAGAGAGUGAGGGGGACAGAGAGGUCGGGAGAGAGAUGGUUGUUAGAGAGCGAGAGAGGGAGGGGGAGUGAGAGAGUCAGAGAGAGUGAGAGGGACAGAUGUUGGGAGAGAGACGGAGAGGUUGUUAGAGAGCGAGAGAGGGAGGGAGAGAGAGUCAGAGAAAUUGAGAGGGACAGAGAUCGGGAGUGAGACGGAGAGGUUGUUAGAGAGCGAGAGAGGGAGGGAGAGAGAGAGAGUCAGAGAGUGAGAGGGACAGAGAGGUCGGGAGAGAGACGGAGAUAUUGUUAGAGAGUGAGAGAGGGAGGGAGAGAGAGAGAGUCAGAGAGAGUGAGAGGGACAGAGAGGUCGGGAGAGAGACGGAGAUAUUGUUAGAGAGCAAGAGAGGGAGGGAGAGAGAGAGAGAGUCAGACAGAGUGAGAGGGACAGAGAGGUCGGAGAGAGACGGACAUGUUGUUAGAGAGCGAGAGAGGGAGGGAGAGAGAGAGAGAGAGUCAGAGGGAGUGAGAGUGACAGAGAGGUCGGGAGAGAGACGGAGAGGUUGUUAGAGAGCGAGGGAGGGAGAGAGAGAGAGAGAGAGUCAGAGGGAGUGAGAGUGACAGAGAGGUCGGGAGAGAGACGGAGAGGUUGUUAGAGAGCGAGGGAGGGAGAGAGAGAGUGUGAAGGACAGAGAGGUCGGGAGAGAGACGGAGAGGUUGUUACAGAGCGAGAGAGGGAAGGAGAGAGAGAGAGAGUCAGAGAGUGAGAGGGACAGAGGUCGGGAGAGAGAUGGAGAGGUUGUUAGAGAGCGAGAGAGGGAGGGAGGGAGAGAGAGUCAGAGUUAAUGUGAGGGACAGAGAGGCCGGGAGAGAGAUGGAGAGGUUGUUAGAGAGCGAGAGAAGGAAGGAGAGAGAGAGAGAGUCAGAGAGUGAGAGGGACAGAGAGGUCGGGAGAGAGAUGGAGAGGUUGUUAGAGAGCGAGAGAGGGACAGAGAGGUCGGGAGAGAGACGGAGGUUGUUAGAGAGCGAGAGAAGGAAGGAGAGAGAGAGAGAGUCAGAGAGAGUGAGAGGGACAGAGAGGUCAGGAGAGAGAUGGAGAGGUUGUUAGAGAGCGAGAGAGGGAGGGAGGGAGAGAGAGUGAGGGACAGAGAGGUCGGGAGAGAGACGGAGAGGUUGUUAGAGCGCGAGAGAGGGAGGGAGAGAGAGAGAGUCAGAGAGAUUGAGAGGGACAGAGGUCGGGAGAGAGAUGGAGAGGUUGUUAGAGAGCAAGAGAGGGAGGGAGGGAGAGAGAGAGAGGGACAGAGAGAGAGACGGAGAGGUUGUUAG